CUUUUACAAUGCCAAGUGGUUAAGAAAUCCCCCCCAUGUGCAGGUCUGCUGUUGCUGAGGUGUCUAGGCACCUCCUCUGAUCGUCAUGUUGGAAGUGUGGAAAAAAGGGGAAAGUACUCUGGAUGUGAAAGCGUGGUCUUGUGGUAUGAUUGGCAUGGCAAAAUUAAGGAACCUGGUAGGGAUUUAGUUCCUUGUAGUUGUAAGUACUAAGCAGGAGGUAGUGAUUGAUUUAGUUGAGAAUGUUCCCUAUUUGUCUUGUGGUAACUUUCGUGUAUGGAUGCCGACUUAAGUCAUAUGCCCAGUAAUGUGAUGAUAG